CAUGUACUAAUACUAUGUUAUUUACAUGUUUGAGUAGAUUUUGUUAUUCCAAAAGGAUGCUUUGUAGUUCCAUUUCUUUCAGCAGUCCUUUACAGAGGAAGAAGAUGUAAAUGUAGAUGAUGUAGCUGCUGCUUUUGUAGGUGGGCAAUCUAUCGAGCCUAGUUAUACAACAAGUUUCAAUCUAUGAUAGUACGAGGCAGAUUUUCCUUGCCUGAUCCUACAAUGCCUUAUGGUCGCCAAGACGUGAUAGAGUGGAUUUGUGGGCUAUAGGUUAAAUAUUUGGAGGUACGACAGAUUAUUAGAAGUUGUGCUUUUAAACUGGUGCAGUUCUGAUCUCUGGAAAUAUUCUCACCAUCCAAAGUACUUUGACGAGAAAAAGGAGCAUGUACUACUAUGGGAGUGGAUCAAAAGAGAGAAAUAUUUAUCGUUGAUCUUCUAAGCUAUCAUUAGAAAGUGAAUAAAAGCUAUUAUGAAAUGUGUGUACCUUAAGCCUGAAUAAAGCUUUUGAUCCCUUAUUGACAUCAUCUUGGAGACUUUUAGUAAAGAUUUCUAUAAAGUCAAAAGCAGAAGCAAGGGUGGGUAGUUGUUACCUCAAUUCUUUUUUUUAAUCCCUUUUAUAGUGCAUCUAUUUGUCAUUGAAUUAUAUUUUAGUACAUGGUAUUAUGACUUCAAAUAUUUUAAUAUUUUAAGUUGUUUUCUUGCACUGCAACUAUUACUUGAUAUUAUGAUGCACUUUCUUUGUAUUGCAACCAAGAGCUAAUGAGGUUGUUAUCACACCACUUGCAUUGGCUUCUCAAAGUUUGAAUGUGAAAUAAUAUGUAACAAUGAUUGUGCUCUGUUAAUAAUAUCCAUAGAUUGUUGAUUGUUUUAUUAAAAUGAAGUAAAUUUUACUGAUUUUAUUUUUAUUAGAUAGAUGUGUUUGUUGGCUAUAUCUAGAUAGUCAAGUCUGUGACCUAUAUAAUCCUCCUUAUUGGUGUUUCUAGAUUGAAUAUUGGUGAUGAUAUUUAGUUUUAGUUGGAUUCCAAGAAAACUACGUCUAUUGAGAUUAUGUGUUUUGAUCAUAAAUUGACUCUAAAGCCUGCACUUAACUCUUGCACUGAGGACUUUAAGAAGAGUUCCAUGUGGACAUGGGAAGAGUUAAUUUUCUAUAAGCAAACGUCCAAUGAAAUGCUACUAGACUUUGAGGAAAAAAAAAGAAAUAAUGUUGCACCAAUGUCAGAUUGAUAAAAAGUCAGUUUUUUUAAGCUUUAAAACUUGCAACUUGGGGCAAAUUUUAGGAAUUGGACCCUCCAAGGAGUUUCCAAAUUUAACAAGAAACCGUAAACUGGGGUAGAGCCUUCCGAAGCUUCAGCGUGUAAGCAGCUUCAUCACCACCAAUGUCAUUUGAUGAGUACAAAGUAGCAACGUAAGAGCACCAAUACUAGCUUUAGUUUUCAACUGUAAUGUGAGGUCUGCCAUUUAGAGGUUUAAAUCAUAAUGAAGGAAUGUCAUUAUUAUAUAUGAUAAAUUUUAAACUAUAAUACUGUCAACACUUUUUCAAGUUCUUAAACCUCUUUAUAUCCCCAAUUACAGUUGAUGUAUGUAAAUAGAAACCAUAGGAAUGUUCGCUUUGAUUUAUGGAUUUAUUGAAUUAUUCCAUUGGAACUUGGAAGCAAGUUCUAAUUGGUUAAAAAAUUCAAGUUAUAGAAGAGCAUAGAAAAAUGCAAUCUAUCACAGGCAAGGAAAAGCUUUUGCUGCUAAUGAUGAUACUUGCAAAUUUGAACUUUAUGCUCAUAUUUCUCAUUAAAUGACUUUUAGGUAGCACAAGCACAUGUAGAAGAGGCUAGCUCCAUGCGAAAGCGAUUUGACAAUGAAGAUAUUUUAUAUAUCUUUGAUAAGUAAUGUGCUUUUAUUUAAUUAAUUAAUUCUUUUUCUCUCUUGGGUUUCAACAUACUUGAGUUUGUAUAAUCUUUAUUUUGCUUGACAAUGAAGAUAUUUUAUAUAUCUUUAA